rnacentral:lncRNA from 1 species
AUCCAAUCACCAAGCUCCACACCAUCUUUCUUAUGGACCAUGUUUUCUGUACUCCACUCUGCAAUAAUCAAAUAACAUCUUGUAUUCAUAUUUUUUCCCACUAUUAUUAUAAUUGGAUAUGCAAAAAAAAAAUAGCUUCAUCCAUUGAAAGCUAAACAUGUUUUUGGAUAAAAAUAUAUUAAAUUUGAAAAAAUGAAUUUAGACUAUAAUAUUAAAAAAUAUUUAAAAAAUAAAUUGGGUUUUAGUUAAAUAUUUGAAGUAUAGACAUAGAUAGAAUUAAUUAAUUAUAAAUAUAGAUAAAUUUCAACAAAAUUUAUAGAUGCCAUUAAUAUGAUAUGUGUGUGUUGAUCCAACCUGAGGUCUAAUUAAAGCUUUCCAUGUCAGAGUUUACGUUAGAAUUUAGAACACCCUCUAUAUUUUUGCUAUAUUAGACAUACUUAAAUUUUAAACCCCAUAAGAGAAUAUGCAUAUACAUAUACAUAUAGAUAUACAUACCGUAUCGGUUCCAGCAGGGCCUGGUGAAGAAGCGCCGAGGCUGGGAGUAGGGGCCUCAUUUGAUGGAGACGGUGGGCUGGAGGCCGAAGGUGAUAGUGCUGGAGACUUAGCUUUGGUCUUGCUAGGGGCCGGAGCUGGAACCGUGGCAGGAGGAGAAGCCAAAGGAGCUGGUGGUGGGGUAGCUGGAGGAGGAGUAGCAGGAGGGGGAGAAGCAGGUGGUGGGGUAGCCGGAGGUGGAGAAGCCGGUGGGGGAGUUGCGGGAGGUGGAGUAGCCGGGGGAGGAGAAGCUGGUGGUGGGGAGCUAACGGGCGGGGGAGUCGCUGGAGGAGGAGUGGAAACUGGUGGUGGUGAUGAAGUAGGAGGAGGAGAGGAAGCUGGUGGCGGAGAAGUAGUUGUGGGUGUUGGAGGUGGUUGAGUAGUAGGUGGAGGUGUGGAAGCGGGUGGAGUCGGCGGCGCCGGCGUGGAUGUCGGAGGAUUACUAGGAGUAGGAGGAGCUUGGCCUAAAACGCCAGCUACAGCAAUGCAAAACAAAGCUGAUAAGAACAAAAACUUAUUAUUAAGCAUCAUAUUGGAAACAAUGGUGACCCUUUAAUCCUGCACACCCUCUCCGCUUAAACUACGCCCAGCCGUGCAAGCAAAUGAGGGAGAAGAAGAGGCAAGUAUGAGAAAUGAAAAGAUGGUGAUAUUUAUAUAUAGGAUAUGGAAAUUUCCAUAUCAUAUUUCAAUUUAAAAUCCCCAAAACAAAUACCAGCAUUUUUAUUUUAUUACUAAUGGGAAAAUUGCAUUACUAAUCAUAUACAAUAUUCUAUAUUAAUUUAGUGUAAUUUAAUUCUUUCAUUUUUUUAUAAUGUUAUUAAUAGGUCCAAAAUCAAUAUCUCCGAUCGUUAGUUGCUGUCAUUAAAGUGAUGAUACGAAAUUAUUUUUUUUACUAUUAUUCCAUCAUACAAUCAGAGAUAUAGAAAUCAAUCAAUUUUGUUAAACAAAUAAUAAAUUUCAAUCUGAGUCAAAUGCUUAAAGUUGUUAAAAAAAAUUCACGUCAUCACUUUAACAACAUCAACUAAUAGCGUUAUCAAUUUGUACUUUGUAGCUACCAAUAACAUUAUAAAAAUAAAGGGUCAAAUUAUAUAGAAGUAAAGGAUUAAAUCUCUAAUUUCAAUUUAGUAAAGGGACUAAAAUGGAAUUAAACCUAUUAGUGGGGGUCGGAGUUUUUUCCUCGUUUGGUGAGGUAAAAAAAAAAAAAAACCCUAGUGGGGCAUAGUUAUAAUGUCACUUUGAUGAUUAUAAAUGAUGCGUUAGUUAGUCAUACUUUAGGUAAAAAACUGUGAGGUGGGAUUAGUGUAGAUUGAAAAUUUUUAGUGAAGGGGUUAAUUUAUACCUUCAAAAUUUUGCAAUAUUUGGUAGUUCCAUGAAAUAUUCCCCGCUAUUUAUCAACUUUUCAAUCACUCAAAUAGGUUUUAAUUUAGUUUUGUUGUGAAAUUUCUAAUUCAAGCAUACAAUGAGUAGAUUUUAUUAUGGGUCGGGUCGGGUUAUUAUAAAAUUUUAGGUGUAACGUCCCGAAUUUUUGGGCCUAGAAGUUAAAAGAUUUAAGCAUAGGGGCAGUAAGGAGGCCACACAUAAGUGAUUAGUUGUGCACUAUAGUGAUAAGAAUGGGCUUAUUAGUCUAGUGGUUAAAUGGAGUGUUAAUUAAGUUCAAGGUUUUUGGUUUGAGUCACUAUGUGUACAUUUUGGGAGUCUUUUUAUUUUGUUUUUUUUUAGUUAGUGAUAAUAAUUAAUUAUUUUAUUUUAUUUUUAUUAUUUUUCUUUUCUUUUCCACGUUAGUUCUCUCUACUUCUUGGUUUUUUUUUCUUUUUGUUCUUUUUCCUUGGACUUUCAAUUUGUGCAUUCUCUAUGUUUUUGAAUCGUUUGCUUACAGAUUUCGAAUUGUCGCACCUCUAUCGUCUUCUUCGUCGUUCAAUCAGGUGAGGGAUUCAAACUUUAACUACAUUGUUUAAUUUUGCAAAGUUUACGUGCGGCUUUUCUUGAAUAUGUGAUAACCCGAAGGUUUUUGGGUUUUGAUCGUUGGAAGUGAGGAAAAUACGUUAUAUUGUGAUAUGUUCUUGAUGUGGUUAAGGUUAGGGACAGUUUGGGUGGCUAAAACGGUGUUUUCGGGGCUAAUUUGGGGUGGUUUCAUGACCUCUCCGGCAGCUACACGGGCGUGUGCCGUGGUAGACAGUCAUAUGGAUUUGGGAACUAGGGUUUCCAGGCCAAAUUGGAUGCCACACGGCCGUGUGGCCGAUUUGGGGAUUUUGUCGAAAUUCACACGGCUGUGUCCCCUAGGCACAUGGGCAUGUGGGUUUGGAAUUAGGGUUUCAGAGAUUUGAAGUCACACAGCCUGGCCAUACGGCUGUGUGGCUGAUUUUGGGAUUUAGGGAUCCCACACGAGUGUGUGUUUCGUAACACACAACCAUGUCUAGUUGGCACACGGGCAUGUGAGACCCUCACAUAGCCGUGUCUGCCCUGCACCUUAUUUUAGCGAAAUUGGACAGUGAGUUACACAGCCUGUUCACACAGUCGUGUCUCUGCUUCGCACGGGCGUGUGCCUAUGUCACAUGGCCGUGUGCUAUCCUUCACAAGGGCGUUUGAAGCCUCACACGAUCUGGAUUGCUCUACACGGCUGAAGCAUACGGGUGUGUAGCCCUAUCUCGCCAAAUAAUGAUUUUAGGUCAAAUUUAAGUGCAAUCGUGACUCUAUGUAUUCCAACCCUCGACUGAGCUCUAGUGAGGGUAUUUACGACGCUGAUCUGAGUUUGGAUAAUGUGUUAAUUGUGAUUGGUUAUGUGACAUGUUUGAUUCUGAACCCGGGUUAGCUGGGUGAGUGUGUAUGCAACUAGUUCUGUCUGACUGUUUGAAUACGUGUCAUUGAUAUGCGAGCUUAUUUUGCAAUUGCUACUGAAUUCAAGUUACGAGUAUACUUAAGACUAAUUUUGUAACUAACUGAUUGGAUGUGAGCGUCUACUUCUGAAUAAUUGUUUGAGACUAGUAUUCUGAUUGUGUACAUCUGACUGCAUACAUACAUACAUAUGCAUAAACUAUUUUGGGCGGGAUUUUUGAAGAGAAGGUGUUGUAGGCCAAUUUUGGGCCCGUUUACACUUUAGGCCGAACAUACAUCAAACCCAUUUACAAUUAAACCCCAGCAUAACCCACAACCCAAACCCAACAAAUAAACCCAAAACCAAACCCAAAUUUAACCCAAUUCAAAUCCCAUAGACCCAAACCCACAUGUAAGCCCAAGUUGUUAGACCCAACUAGCUUGAUUUAGGGUUUCAAAAAAACUGAAACCCUAACCUACCCCCAGCGCCGCCAACGUCACAUCGCCCAUGCCAGUCCACUUGCACUACCUUUGCUCCACUGUUCAACCACCACCUGCAAAACAAAAGAGCACGCAACAGCAGCGCAAAAAUAGGAAAUAGACAGUGUAUGAACAACAAAAUCGGCUAUAAAGCCGAAUGGAAACCAAUGUAAUAGAAAAUAUUUUCGGUUAUUUUCUUCAUCAAUACAAAAAAAUAGAUUUAAACAUAUACAAGCAAUAAUUCGGGGAAAAUCAAAACACUAGAAUAACACCAAUUGGGCAACCAAAACAUCAAUAUCAAAAGCCUAAGGUGAUUUAAAUCUUUUUAUUUUUAUUUAUUUUUGAAUCAUACAUACCUAUGUAUUUUCAUAAAUAGUAUAAUAAAAAGGAAAAUAAAAGAAUAAAAAAAAGAUAGGAAAUUUUUACCUUUUCCGGCCACCGUGCGACGGUGGCACACGGCGGUCCGGCAACCAGACGUGGACGGCGACCGGCCUUGUGGCCGGAAUUCGCCUCUCCUUCUCCCCUCUCUCUUUUUUUUCUUUGCUAUGCAGAAAAUGAAUUUUUUUUGAAGAUUUUGGCCUUUUUAUAGCUUCCUAAAACGACGUCGUUUUGGGGGUUGCCCUUUAACCUCAAAACGACGUCGUUUUGCCCUGGAUCAGGUCGACCCGACCCUACCCACUCAGGAUCUGAGUGUUUUUGCUCUUAGGGGCUAAUUGCGCACGCGGUCCUUCCGCUUUUUCUAUGUUUUUCAAUCAGGUUUUUUAUGUAUUUUAAUUUGGCCCUAUAAUUAGUUGCGCUUUCCAAUUUGGUCCUCAAUGCUAUUGCGCAUUUUGGGUGGAGAGGCUUAUUUCGUUUUAAGUCCCUCCACUAUUUGUGCGCGUUGAAAUAGGUCCCCUUCCCUUCUUUUUAUUUCAGUUUUUGCCCCAAGCCUUUUAUUUUUAAUUCGAUUCGAUCCUUUUUUUAAUUACUUUAUUAUUAAAAUUAAUUAUUUUAGUAUUAUUGUUAUUAGCACUAUUCAUGUACAUAUAUAUUAUCAUUAUUGUUACUAUUACUAUUAUUAAUCUUCAUAUUAUUACUAUUAUUUCUUUAUUUUUAUAUUAUAUUAUAUUAUAUUAUUAGUUUUUACUAUUAUUAGUAUUAGUUUUAGCUUCAAUUAAUAUUUUUAACAUGCAUAUUUAUAUACUUUUAUGUAACAUUAUUAAUAAUUAUUUUUUAAAAUAUUAUUAUUAUUUUUUAAUACAUGCAUAUAUAUUAUGUGUAUAUUCUUUUAAUAGACAUUAUGUAUAUAUAAUUUUAUAUAUUAUUUUUAACUUUACAUUAUGUAUAUAUUGUUAAUAUCAUAUUAUUCAUAUAUUCUAUUAUAUUAUAUAACUAUAUUAUGUAUGUAUUUUUAACACUAUAUUACGUACAUACUUUCAAUAUCAUUAUUAUUAUGUAUAUAUAUUUUUAAUAUAUAUAUGUGUAUAUUUAUGUAGUAUUAUUAAUAGUUGUUUUUAAUAUUAUGAUUAUUUCUAGUAUAUAUAUAUUAUGUAUAUACUUCUAAUACUAUAUAUUGUAUAUUUCUAAUACCAUUAUUAUUUAUAUGUGUAUAUGUGUAUGUAUUUAUGUAUCGUAUUAUAGUUGUUGUUUUUUUUGUAUCAUUAUUGUUGCUAAUAUAUAUAUAUCAUGUAUAUAUGAUUUUUUUUAUAUAUAUUAUGUAUAUAUCUUUAAUAUUAUAUUAUUUAUAUAUUUAUGCUUACAUAUUAUCUUACGUAUAUAUUUUUAAUAACUAUAUUAUGUAUAUACUAUUACUAUAUAUCUAUUUAUGUUGCAUUAUCAAUGGUUGUUUUUACUAUUAUUAUUAUUCUUAAUAUAUAUAUUAUGUAUACAUUUUUAAAUACUAUAUUAUAUACAUAUAUUUUUAAUACCAUAUAUGUACAUAUCAUUAUUAUAUCUAUUUUUACCCCUAUUACAUUUGUUAUUAAUAUUAGUAUAUAUUUUAUUAUACGUGUAUAUAUAUACUUUUUAAUAUAGUAUUAUUUUUAUAUAUCAUUAUAUUUAUUAUUAUACUUAUUAUUUUCGCUAUUGUUACUUAUUAUUUUAUUUUAAUAUUAUUGUGUAUUAUUUGGUAUACAUAUAUCUUUUUGUACAUAUUGUUAUUUUUUAUUAUACGUAUAUUAGUUUAUUAUGGUAUUAAUACAUUUUUACCUUUUUCUUUUAUUGUAAAUAUUAUUUAUUAUUACUCUAAUAUCCUAAUAUUAUAUUAUAAUACUUUUUAUUAAUCAUCUCAUUAUUUUGCAUCGUUUAUUUACUUAUGAAUUUUUGUUAACAUCAUCAGUUUUUUUUUAUCAUUAUUUUAGAAACAUUUUUAUUUUAAUAAAUAAUGCAACGUACCGAUUUUAACAUUAAGUUUGUGAUUUCAUCGCUAUGUUGGGUGAAUCACGUUGGCUCGUGUUAAAAACGGGACAUCCUUCAAAAAAACCAAAAACUUGAAAUUUCUCGUGUCUUGGUCGGAUCAUGAUUAAAUAUUAAAUUAAACUUGUAUUUUUGAAAAUUAAGACAACGCGUAAUUAACAAGAUACUAAUUUUGGGCGUCGUGAGGGUGCUAAUACCUUCCUCGCGUGUAACCGACUCCCGAACUCUAUUUUCCUCUGGAUUUUCACGUAGACCCAAAUUCGGCCUUCAUUUUUGUUCAAGAAUAAAUUUUCUUUUCUAAAAAGAAGAUUUAUUAGGUGUCUGAUCACACCUAGAAAAAAGAUCGGUGGCGACUCCUUUUCUUUUUAAAACCGAAAUUCCAUUUUCAAAUAAUCGCCUCAACUAGCGACCGGAAAGUGAAAUUUUUACGUUGCUACAGAAGGAAGAUUGACUGAACUGAACUGAUAGCUAAUAUGUUGCCCCUAAUACCCAGAGGGUCAUGGGCGGUCCCAAUACCCUGAGGAUCGUGGUUAAUUUGACUGUACUGCGGACUAUCGCACUGUACUGUACAGAACAUACAUCAGCACCGCUGCUAUCAUUGACUAAACUGGCAAUUUUACUGCAACCUAACGAUAUAGCGGUCUACCGCAUUGCAUUGUACCGCAUGUACGUUAGCUACGCUACGUACUAUUAUCUGAUCUGGCAGUUCAUACUGCAUGUCUGUACCGCGGUUCACCGCAUUGCACAGUACAACCUAUACGCUGGCUUUCCUACGUAAUUUACGUGACUAGCAGUUUAUCUGCAUACUGUUAGCCCAAAUUCCCAGAGGGUCGAUGGCAAUCCCAAUACCCUGAGGGUCAUGGACAAUGCUGAUGAUCAUCGUUGUCGGGUAACCCGGGAUGACAUCAUAUGGGGUGUAGGGUUGGAUGGGCUUUGCGAGGUCCUGUAUGGAGUGUUUGGUGGGACAAGCUUAAAGCUUUUAUGAGAAGUGAUGGGGGACGGAGAGGUGUGUUGGCUGGAUAGGUGGAUAUUUUUAGAACUCAUUUGUACUCAUAUGUAUCUGAUUGAUCUGUUUAACUGAAUUGGAACUUGUGAAUGGUUGAGAAUUAUUGCUACUGUGACUGAAUGUGAUACUGUUCGAUUGAGAGGCACUUGUGCCUAUGUGAAUUUUGUAGAUUCUGAUUGCGACUGUCUGACUGGAUUCUUACUGUGACUGAUUAAGAUUUGUUGCUACUCUGUCUGAGUGGUACUUGUGGCUGAGUGUAUCUAACUGAUUGAGUUAAAACUAGUGGCAGAAUAGCACUAUGUUUGUGUAGCUGAGUGUAAUUUUUAAUAUGCAUUAACAAAUAUCUGUCUGUCGGUACGUCCGUUUCGAACGUACCCUUUGGUUCUGAAUAGCUCUGUAAGUAUGUUUUAUUUCUGAACUGCUUUUAGUUCCCUGUUUCUGUCUCUGUAGUUUAACUGGUUUGAUCUCAAACUGAGCUCGAGUAGCUCACCCCCUCUUUCGUUUCCCUUUUCAGGUACAAUUCUGGAUUAUGUUGAUGGACUUGGCACGCGAAGGUCUCAGACAGUCUCGCAAACAAAUAAAUUAUCAGUUUUGUUUUCCGUUACGAUUUUGUUAUUUGGUUAACUUUGAACUGUAAGGCUUUAUAAUACUGUGGUACAGUUUCCAUUUUAGAUUUUCAUGCAUACGUUUAUUUUGGGUUUUAUAUUGAGUCUUACUGUAAAUUUUAUUGACUGAUUAUUAAAUGGUUUUAAACACUUUUGGUUCACUGAGAUGAGUUAUUUUGUAAAAUUUUCCUACGAUCACUUCGGUGAUCAAUGUAGCAUUCCGAAUUCGGUCUAGACUUUUAGGCCGAGUUUGAGGUGUUACAUUAGGUUUAUUUUUUAGGUUCUAAUUUGACUCGAAAAAUAGGUCUAAAAUUUUAACUAAACCCAGUUUAGAUAAAAAUAUUAAACCCAAGUCCAAACGUAUUAAACUUUUUAUAUUAUUAUUUAUAAAAAAACAAAUUUAAAAAAUAUAAUACAUCAAAUACACUAAAAAUAUUAAAAUAGAUGUUUCCUAAUAAAUUGAAAAUACAUUAAAAAAGUUUUUAUACUUAACAAGCAAAUGCCUUUAAAAUAGUAGCAAAAUUAACAAGCCCAUGAUUAGGUCUAAUGAUGAGUUCUUUUGUUAGUAAUGUUUAUUUUGGUAUUUGAGUUUUUUCUGUCUUAAUUUGGUACUUAAUUUUGACUUUAAUUUUUUUCCAAUUAAGCACUUAAGUUUGGCUUCAAUGUUCAAUUUGGUACCUAAUUUUUUUUGUCCAAAUUAAUUACCUAUAUAUUUUUUACCAAAGCAUGUGUGUCAAACAUUUAUUGGAUCAUAUGAUGACAUUUGGCUUAGGUAUCAAAUUGAAUAUCAAAUUCAAACCUAAGUACUAAAUUGAAACAAAAAACACAAAUACUAACUUAAGUAUUAAAGCUAAACUCAAGUAUCAAAUUGUAUAUUAAUCAUUGGUAAACAAAAUUUCAAGGAUUAGCAUCUACUAAGCUUUCAUUUUCCCUUUUGCAUGUUACAAUUGAUAUUUGUUUAACGCAUAAACUUGGUAUCUUUUUUCCCGUAAUGAUCCAUUUUCAACAAUUUUUGUACACCUAUAUUAAAAUCUGAAAUAAUUUGGUUAUCUUCAACAUACAUAAAGCUGUUAUAUUAAAGUUUAUUUAUAGUUGAGAUUUUUAAAGGAUUUUUAUAAGAUAUUUUUUACACAUUCUUUCCAUGACAUUAAGGAGUAGGGAAGAAAACGUGGUAGUGUUAAAAGGAUCAGUUCAUCUAAACAAGCGGAAAGUCAAAAUAAGAAACAAAUUAAGGAGGAGUAGGGGACUCACACAUCCAUAACAUAUGCAUAUGUUAAUAUUAAAAAUUUACACAACGCAAUUGUAAAUGGUGAGACUUGGACUUCGAUACUUAAAGACCCAAGAUAUCGCCUUAACCAAUAAUGUCAACAAGAUCUCAUUAACUUUUUAGGAAUUUUCUUAACUUCACAUAUAGGGAUUAAAAAAUUACGAUAUAACUCAAUAUAAUAUUAAAGAGUAAAAGUUAAUCAAAAUUUACAUAUAUCACUCAUUUAAUCAUAUGUGUACAGAUAAAAGGAAGCCACUCAUCCUCUUGCCAACCCUACGUGUAACAUAAUUCACUAUAAAUUCCACCUACAUAUACAUACAUACAUAAAUAUAAAAGAGAAUUUCAUGGUCUUGGACUAGAUUGGCUACAAAAUUUGACAAACGGCAUGUGUAGGAGGAUUAAAUUCGAUGAAUUGCAUGAGAGUUUCUCCUUUUUGAUAAUUUAGUACAUGAGAGAAUAAUGAUGAUUGUGGGGGGGGGGGGGUGCUCCAUCGAAAUAGCUGGAAUUUAUUUAUUUUAGUGAACUGGCAAAUGUAAUUUGUACGCCAAGUUAUAAGGUGAAAAAGGGAGAAAUCAUAUAGAUUUGGUUGGUAAUGGUAUGUUGAUGUUGGAACACCUGCGGUGCACCGCCACAAUUAGUAGGCCCCUAGCCCCGCUGUCACCCCAUCAUAUGUGCUUUUGGAUGGAUCCAACAUUUUCGUGUUCUUUCAUUCUUCAACAUCAUCAUUAUUAAUUAGUUACUCUUCAAUUUCUAUAUGUAAUUUGCUUUCUUUUCAUUCAUAGGUUUUCUGUUUUCUGUCUUUGAUUUUGUCUUGUGCACAACUGAUGUCCUCCAUUUUUUUCCCCUUUUGUAGAAUUGGGUUUGUCACUUUAAUAGUGCCCGAAAUUAUUUUAUGGAUUUUUUUCAUCAUAUCAUUUAUAAUCUAUUUUUAGUUAUUUAAUGAUAUUUUAGUAAUUUUUUUAUGUUAUUGACACAUAAUUUUACUAAUUUUUUUACCCAGAACCCUCAAUCUUGAGUUUAGAAUCUUGAACCCCGAACCUUGAACCCUAAACUCAAACAUUAAACUCCAAACCUAAACCUUAAAUCUUGAAACCCUCAAGGUUUAGGUUUGAGGUUUAAGUUCAAAUUCAAGUUUGUAGUUCAGGGUUCGAGGUUUGAAAUUUAAGGUUCGGGUUCAGGGUCAGAGUUCAACAUUCAGGAUUCUAGGUUUGGGGUUUAAGAUAAAAAAAAAUUACCAAAAUUAUAUGUCAAUGACAUGAAAAAAAAAUUACUGAAAUGUCAUUAAAUAAUUAGAAAGGGACCAUGGAUGAUGUGGUGGGAAUGGUCCAAAAAUAAUUUCUCAUUUGUAUGGGAUAUUAUUCAUUAUCUAUUAUAAUUUGAUAUCUCUAUUUUUAUAAUAUUAUUAGGGGAAAGGAUUGUAUGAAACAGUGACGCCAUGUCAUCUGUAUCCCUUUCCAAUAAUUUUAUGCCAUAUCAUUACUUUUAUCCUCAAUUUCAGGAUUUUAUCCUGAAAAAAAUCAAAUCCAAAUUAAAAUCCUGAAAUUCAGGAUAAGAAUAUUGAUGUGGCAUAAAACUAUUGGAAAGGGAUACAGAUGACGUGGCGUCACUGUUUCAUACAAUCCUUUCUCUGUCCAAAUUUAUAACAAUGUUGAUUGCUUCACUAAAAUGAGAAGGUCCAAAAGAGUUAGAAGAUGUUAUUGAGAUUAAUAAAGGAGUAAUUUAUUUCGAGAUAGAUUAAUAUAAUUUAUUUGUGUUUUUUAUUUAAAAAAAAAAGUAAAAGGACGUAGUAAAGGAAUUUUCAUGCAUCAAUAAUUUAUUAUUUAAACUAUGAAAUUUCAAAAAAGAAGAAAUUCAUGUUGAAAUUGAUACUAUCAAGCAAUUUAAAAGUGUAAAAAUUUCAGUAUCAGCUGGAUAUUUAAUGUCAAAUAAACUAAAGAAAUGAGAAACACAAGCCAAUUGUCCACAAUGAUUAACUUGUUCCUAAAAAGAAAGUUGUACAUAGACUUUGCUUAUAAAUCAAUCCAAUUUUUUUUUAUAUAAAAGGAAACAUAUUACAUACUUAUAUUGAGUUAUUUGUACCACAACCCACUUAAAUUAUGAUUUUAAUUUUCGAUUGAGUCUUAGUUCAAUUGAUAUUGGCAUUAUUAUCUGUGGAGGAGUGGAUUCAAGUGCGCUGAAACGCAUUAUCCUUCUAUUUAAAUGUUGGGAAGGAACUAUAGAUUCGAAAGCAGAUAUGAUAAGAACCUAUAAUAAAAUUAAUGUAAUGCCUCCUUUUUCCUUUAAAUCCUACUUAAAACACACUUACUUAUUAUUUGCUAAAAUAUUGACAAAUCUAUAAUUUGAAUUCGAACAUUUAUAAUUCAAUCUUGGUCCCUUUAAUACAAAAAAUGUUGGCUUCACCCUUGAUCAAUUUAGUCAUCAAGUUUUUUUUUUUUAACAUAAAUUUCAAUAUAGAUUCUUAUCAUAUUAGCUCUUUUUGAUACAAUGCUUAUAACUAUCCAUAGCCCUUCCCCAAUCAUUAAAUAGUAGGAUAAUACACUUUAACGUAUUCGAAUCCACAUCCUCUUCUACUGACAACAAUGUCAAUCAAUACAAUUUUAAAUACGAGUGUACUACUUAGAUAAUCAUAUCCAAGGUACACAUACUUUUAAAAUUUGAUCCACACACUUUAAAUAUACCCCACCUCUGAUCUAAUCUAGCAUUUAUCACCUAAGCUGACGGUUAGAGGAACAAAAGAACUUGAUUGAUAUAAUAUCAAUAUUUUAUAGACUCAAUCGUACCAUAAUUAUGGACGUUUUCGCUGAGUUAACUCUAUAUCUAAAUAAGUCAUGGUAAACAUUCAAUAUUAAAAAAGAUAAAGGGAAAGUAUAAUAACCCAAAACACCAAAUUUUGGUUGGUUUAAUUUGCAGCUUUAACCAAUGCUUUUGCAUGAUCCAUCAAUUAGUGAGGAUUUUGAUCUUAAUUGGAGGGUCCCAUUCGGUUAUUAAGCUCUUUUUCCACCCUCAUGAUUGCCAUAACAUGGGCCCUUACCGUUUUACUUUGGAUACCCUUUUAUCUUUGCUUUGCUUUGCUUUGAUUUAAGGUUUUAUACAUAAAUGGUCACUUAAACUAUACCUCAAUUUUUAGAUUUGUCCUUAAAGUUUUUUUUUUAUCAAGAGUGGCCCCCACACUAUCAAAUUUAUCUCAUUUUACCCAAAAAGCGUACAAUAUCCAAUAAAAAUAUUUAAAAUGUGACGCGUGUCACAUUCUUAUUGGUUAAUAUCAUUUUUUGAAUAAACAAAAAUAAAAUUAACAGUUUAGCGAUCACUUUGACCAAAUAAAAAAGUUUUAAGGACUACUUUAGGAAUUUAGAUAUAACUUAAGAGUUAUUUUAUUAAUAAAGCUUUGAUUUAUUCAUCAAUUAACACUGAAAGAGUUUUCCUUAAUUUACUCAAAUGGUCUUUUUGUUUGUAUCACCUAACAUUUUGAAGAACAUCCUUUCUCUGUGUACCUCAUACAAUUCGUUAAUACGAAAAUUUUAUGAUUUUUUUAAAAAUAAAUUUAAUUGUCACGUUGCAGGUUACAAAUACUUUUAAAUAAGGGCUUUUUUCAUACAAGAAUACCAAUUAAAAAAUAUCUUCAAAGGUAUAUCAGUUAUACUCAGAUCAAAAUGUUUAAACUUAAUUUAUCUAAUUUCUUCGGCAGGGACCUAACCCAAAAUUGGUAAAAUUAAAAUUAGAUCUUUAUAAUUUUGAAGCAUUAAAAUUGAAUUUUUUUUAAAUUGUAAAAUUAUAAAUUUAGCCCCUAAAAAAAUUAUAAUUCAACUUCAGCCUCUAAAAUUUUUUCCUCUAACUUCAUCUCCCCAUAAUUCAAUAUAUUUAAAAAAAUUUGUGACUGACAUUACCAACAAAAAAUAUAUUUAUAAUUAGUAUUUAAUAUACAAUUAAUGAAAUGUUUUAAUUCUAUAAGCAAUGUUCAAAAUUUUCAUAUAUCUCAAUUUUUAAUAUUUUUUUUAUUAAAUCAUGAAUGAAAUAUAUAUUACCUUUCAGAUUUUACUUGUAGAGUCUAAUAACUAUAUGACGCAUUAAAUCAUUAUACAUAUAUAAGGUCAAGUGGUCCAUAGGUAGCUUAGAGUACAAGGGAUUAAGUUGAGGGUCUCUUAUCAUUUUCCCCAAAUGUGAAGUGAUGUUAACUGCUUAGCUUUCUCCUCUUGCCCCAUUCAUUUUCCUUCCUUUCCACAAUAUAUAUUGUAUAAGUAUUUAUGGGUAAUCGAUUGAGUAUUUACUCGAUUAAUAUGAGUAUUAAUGUCAAUAGAGGAGGACGUAGAUUUGGCGCAUUAUUCUUCUAAUCAUGGGUUGAGAGGCUAUGAGUAGUUUUAAAUAUUAUGUCCAAAAAAAACAGAUAUGAUUAGAACCUAUAAUAAGAUUAUUUAAAAAAAUAUUUAUGGGUAAUCAGUUUAUACAAUUUCGAUUAAAUGUAUAAAUCCAAUCAUUAAUCAUUAAAUUGUUUUACUUUAUGCCAUAGUAUUGUUUUAACUGCAUAAGCAUGUGGGUUAAUGAAAACUACUUAUAGUAUCUCAAUUAAAUGUAAUCAACAACCUCAACUCAUAUCUCCCAUCUCUCUCACUCUCAAUUAUAUAACCUAUUAAUAAUUAACAUUAAUAACCCACUUUCAAGUAGAUCUCAGGCUACCUGCCAUGCCAAGCCUAAAGCUUAUAAGAUGCUUGAAAAGGUUUGCACAAAUAUACAAGAAUAAGUAGGAUAAUGGUUUGGGCAAAAAUUAAGCUUAAUUAUUUAAAUUAUAGAUUAAAUUUAUCGAUAAAUCAUGUUAAGCGUAAUGAUAAGAUAUAUUAUACUCUUAAGAAAAGAAUGUAGAUUCAAAUACUAGAAACGAUAUUGUUAGGAAAAGUAAUCACAAAUCUCAAACAUGAAUCAUAAAAUAAACAUAUAAAAUACUAAAAAAAAUCGAAUUUAAACUCAUUUAAAAUUGUUGAAACAUGGAUAAUUUAACUCAAUAUUGCAACAGGAAUUUCGAUAUAGUUUCUAUAAAAUUUAGUGUUACAAUAUGAUUUCCCAUAGAAGUGUGAUAAAAUCAAUAAUGUUGACUUGUAUUAUUGCAUUAAGUAGUGCAUGAAAUGUAGGAUUCUAUUGUAAAAGAGAAUUAGAUAAAAUUGUAUAAAGUGCAUACUAAAAACUGUUUUGGAGGCUUUAAAGAAUUCUAUUCGCUUAAAAGGUAAGAGUCUACUUCAUCAGCUAAGGUUUACAAUGUAGGGUAAGUGUUCAAUCGAAUUAAGUGAAAAAAUUUUGAGUUUAUCGAGUUGAUGAGUCCUAUUUUAUCAUACUAACUUGAUUUGAAAUUUUCUCGAAUCGAGUCGAGUAAAAUGAAAUUCAAGCCAAAUCAAAUCAAGUGAAAUUAUUUGAGUUAAAUUAAAAAAUUAAACAUGUCAAAUUAAAAUCUUGUUAUAGUAUAACUAAUUUUAUGUUAGAGCACAUAAAUUUGAAAUCACAUAUAUUUGAAAACUUUUUCAAAGUAAAAUAAGAAAAAAAAUAAUUUAAUAUAAUAAACUUAAAUUAUUAAUUAACUUUUAUUUAAGUCCCCAAAAUUAUUAUUUUAAAAAAAAUUAAAUUUUUAACUUUCUUUAUAUACUUUAUAAUUUUUUUAAAAAAAUAUAAAAUUUGGAAUUUUUAUAAAUAUUUUGAAUUUUAAAAAUUAUUAUGAAAAUUUUGAAAUUUAUUUUGUAUUUUUUGUUGAAAGAGAUCAAUUUGCUUUUUUUUUUAAAAUUAAUAGGGACCAAAAGGGGUAUUUAUACCAAUCUAUUAUUCGAGUUAUUCGAAUUGUAAAAUUCAACUUGACUUGAACUCAGAACUCGAAUUACUUAUUCGAUUUAAUUCGAAAAAAUUGAAUAAGAUUCAAUUAACUUAGAAUUCGAUUUUUAUUUUAUUUUUUUGAUCAAAUCGAGUUUUGUUCACCCCUAAUAACUUGUUAGCAACUUAUGCAAGAAUUUUUUAAUUUUAAAAUAAAAGCUAAUAAGAUUAUUUUAUCUUGAUAUUAAAUGCUAUUUAUACAACAUAUAAAAGAUGGUGGAUACACACAGUUGGGGUAGACUUUUUGAGUGUUUCAUUUUUCGGGUUGAGGGAAUAUUUUGCAAGGUAAAUACACCUUGAUACCCUAGGUAUUAUUUGGAGAAUUUUAUUCACUUGUAUGCAAAGAUGUUUGCAAUAUGUGAUAAUAUUUUGGGAGAUUGGAUGCAAACAAUUGCAUACUAGUGAAACUACUUUUUAUCUACAUUUUGCAAGAUAGAUACAUUAUAAUUAGAGGUGUCCAUAAGUCGGAUUGGAUCCAAUCAAAAUUUUAUACCCAUUUGUCAGGCUAAAAAUAUUAAAAUUCGAGUCCCAUCUGGCCCGUUCGUAUUAAUUUUUUUAUAUAAUUUUUUAAAAUAUAUAUAAUACAUCAACAAUACUAAAAACAUUAAAAUAAAUGUUAAAAACAUUAAAAUAAAUGUUCCCCAACAAAUUGAAAAUAAAUUUACAAAUUGAUUAAUAAAUUUUAAAAAAAUAUGUAUACUUAAAUAACACUAAGAUAUGUAUAACUUAACAAGCAAAUACCUCUAGAAUAGUAACAAAAUUAAAAAUAAAACAACAGUAAUACAAUAUCCAAAUAAUAACAAUAAAAUAGUAGCAAUAUAAUUGUGAAAUGGUAGCAAAAUAAUGAAAAAGAAGAAGAAAAAAAAGAAAAAAAUUACAAUUCUUUUAUUUUGCAUAUUCGGGUCGGCUAUUUUCUAAACGGACCUUAUUUUUCAGCCAAAAAAGUCUUACCUGAGGCUCAACCCGUUUUCUAAACAAGCCUUAUUUUUUUGCCUAAACACAUUUUUCGGGCCUAUAUUUUUAUCCAAACCCUCCCACUUUUCAGGUCGGGCCACAUGUACAGGUUUAACCAUGAUAUAUUAGGUAUUAUUAUAAACUACUAAAUACUAAAUAAAAAAUAACAUUUAAAAUUAAAAAAAUGAAAAGAAAAAAAAACUUAAAUGAAUAUAUACAAUGUAACAAGGUACAUAAACCUACAUUGUGACAAGUGUCGCAACUUUAUUUUUUUAUUUAAUUUCUAUAUUGUUUAUCUAUUAAAUAAAAUUAAAAUAAUUUAAACACAAUUUUAUCUUAAUGUAUUACAAAAUUUAAUUAAAAUAAAUGAAAAUUGUUAUUUGGAAUAUAUGGAUUUUAAAAAUAAUAAUAAUUUUCAUUUAAAUAAAUUUUACAAAUAAUAUAUAAUGCUGAUUAUAUAGUUUUAAAUAAUAUUUUAAUAUAUGAAUUGUUAUCUACAUAUUUAUUUAAAUAUAUUACAAGAAUUAAAACUAUUUAAUAACAUAUUCAUCAUAAAAUAAAACGAGAAUUAUAAAUUAUUAUUAUUAUUAUUUUAAAAUAUUUAUUUAAAUAAAACUAUAUGAGCAUAGGUUGUAACAUUCUACAUAUUUAUAUAGGUAAACCAUCAUGAUAAAAACUAUUAUCAUAAAAUUUUGCACUUUUUAUUAUAUGAUAUGUAUAAAAUAGUUCAAUUAGAUAUGAUUAAUAAUAAUAUUUAUGCUCAUAAAAUUAUCAAAUUAUAUAUUACAAUGUAUUUAUAAUGGCUCAAAUAUUAAAUAAUGGUUUACGGGUUGUAAUAUAUAAUAGUUCAAACAUAUUAUAAAUUUGAAAUAUAAUAUAUAUUAUAUUGAAUUAUUAUUAAUAGUAGAUAAUACUGUUAUAAUAAUUUAUAGUAGUAAAAGUAAAGGGUGAGCUAACAAUUCAGUGUGUAACUCAAUCCAAACAAUCAGCACAAAUACAGAUACAGUAACAAAGAUGAAUAUAGAUACAGAUAUAAAUCCUACUUCAUCCACUACACACCAUAUUUGUUCAUCCCUAGACAUCAAUUAGAGUAUUAAAUACUCAUGCAACCUUACCCACCUAGAAGUGAGCGUAUGUCACUUUUCAGAACAGUGCAAUCAAGCUACCAGAAAUAAUGUAAUAAUCCGCCAGAAUUAGAUAAGUGUGGUCAAGCCAUCAGAACAAAUAUGUGGUUUAAACCACCAGAUAAGACAGAUCAUUAAAUUGUUAACACUUCCUCCAUCAUAUUAUUAUCCCACCUUAAUGCAUAUGCAAACAUUAAUCAGGUAACAAAUGCAUAUAUAUCAUACACGCUAUACGUAUCAGAAUAUACUAUCAUGCUUUUAGAAAUUGCACAAACAGAAUAUUAGAUUUCAUAUCUAUAAGUCAUACAUAACACAUUAUGAAACCUACAAAGUGGCUAAUCUCGAAUCGUACUUUAAAUACGGCCUAACUAAAUUUUAUAGAAAAUGAGCACACAUGCCCAUGUGACCCACACGGUCUGGCACACGGCCUCACACAUACUCAUGUGGCCCACAUGACCCACUUAACUUAGCCCAUGUGGCUCACAUGGUCGUGUGAUUUACACGGUCUGGCACACGGCCAUGUGGUGUCGACAAUGAAUUUUUUGGCUUCGCAUCGUUCAUUGUUUUUCGAGAUUAUCAUUACAGACUUGGUCGUUUUUCGAUACUAACACCACGAAAAAGAUUCCAGAACUUAAAACAACAUUUAACACGAACAAUUUAGCAACGAUACACUAAAUAUAAUCCAUUAAUUCAACCACAACCACUAACAUUAGGCCUUAACAAGCUGGAAAUCAGUCUUUUGGGCAUUCGAUUACUUACCCAGAACAGUAGUGACAGUCCUAAAAAUCUCCUAAUUCACUAGAAGGAUGUCACAUGCCUCACAAACUUCUCCUAUUGAAACAUCAAAACAAUCAAAAAAAUGAAUAUUGCAUAAUACUACAACCCCUAUUCGUCAUACGGAAACGAAUUAACCUUACCGAAGAAUGCACUUACAAGACUUACACUUAAACAAAAAUAUGAAUUCUUUGCUCGAACACGGCGCUACGGUGAUUACAUGCAAGAAAAUCAAUACCACAAGGAUUUAAACAUUGGACCUCUAGGUAAGCUGAAGUUUUACCACUAAAUCAACAAGCUCAUUCUUAUCAUUAAUUUAGCAAAAAUAAUAUAUAAGCUUAAUAUCCAAAGUCGGUGGUUGGGACAAAAAUAACAAAAAUUUAAAUGAAAGAAUUUGAACCUAGAACAUCACACACACUAACACAACACAUAACCAAUAAACUAAAUUAAUCACUUUAACAAUAUUUAACAAUUCAAAAAUAAGAAUUUUGAGACGUUGCUAAAUUGUAUCAUAUAUCAUAUAUCAAACUUACGAUACAUCAUUCAUAAAAAUUAUAACAAACUUACGAAAGGAUUUAAUGAUAUUUAAUUCUUAACGGGUAAAAACUUAUAUCAUAUAUCAUAUAUAUUUAUAUAUUAAGAAUUUGAAUCAUUAAUUAUAUAUCUAUAUAUUAUAAUAGUUUCAUCUUUCAAAUUUUCUUCCUCAUAAUUAAAGCAUAAGUUAUAUUUAUAAUAUCAUAAAUAUAUUAUAUUUCAAAAAUUUACACACAUAAUCAACCUAUACAUCGCUCGUGAUAAGAAAACUAAUUUAUAAAUAUGAAUGUACAAAAUUCGAGCUAAAUCUAGCUUCAAUUUUCCGGUGAACUUCUUUUGACUUUAAAUCUUACUUUUUCUUCUUCUUUUUGGCAAAAUAACUUAUUUGGCACAAAAACAAAAGUCGUUUUAACUUUUUUUUUCACCAUUUUUUAGCAUUUAAACUUGCAUUUUUUUGUUAAAUCACUCCAAAAUGAAUGGAAAAGUUAACAUUUUUAACUUUGCUGAUGUUUCGUACAUGUGGAUAACACAUCAACAUUUAAUAAAUCUUAAAAAAAUUAUAAAAACUAUUUUUAAAAUUUAAAAUAUUAAUAUUAUAAAAAAAUAUAAAUAUUUUUAAAAAUUAAUUAAAUGCUGAUGGGUCAUCUACGUAGCAAUCCAUAUGUAUGUCAUGUCAACAAAGUUAACAAAUAUUAAUAUUUUCAUCCAUUUUAGGAUGAUUUAACAAAAUAUAUAAAUUUAAAGACUAAAGAUGCGAAAAUAAUUAUAAGACCAAAAUGACUUUUUUUUUUAAUUGAAGGACGAAAUAAAUGAUUAUGUAAAGUUGUGAAUAUUAAUAUUACCAUAACAAUCAUAAUUCGCUUAUGGUUUAUUCAUUUUUAGGGUUUUCCUUACUAGGAGUCUAGGAUACUUGAAGGCAGAUAUUAUUAUUAUUAUUAUUAUUAUUAUUAUUAUUAAAUUUAAACAUAUUUUUUUAAUUAAGGAACAAUAAUUUGGUCCGGGUCGGUCCUUGGACAGUAUUGUAAUUUCCCAAGUUAUUAACAUUUGUUUAGGGUUUCUCAUAGUUAAGAAUUAAGUGGGCUAAUUUCCCAACUUAGAUUUGAUGAUACGAUUAAAAAAUAGGAAAUAUCAAAAUAUGAUCAUAUGAAUUAUUAAUACUAGUUUUUUUUUAUCUGAGUAAAUAGAUAAUUACUUGAAUCAAUUUAAUAAAAAUUAAUAUACUAAAAAAUACAAUUCCAUCAUUUUAAUAGUUUAUAUAUUUAUAAUUUUUAAAGAAUUAAAUUAAUAUUUUAUCAUUUUAGGGAGUUAAAAUUUAAUUUUACUAUUAUUAAUUUAAAAUUUUAUAAAUUAUAUGUACAUACCCAAUUUUGCCAAACCCAAAUACAUUUCAAACCCUUACUAACCCAAGUCUGUUUACAAUAUUUUCAGCCCAAUUAGCCUAACCCAAGUACUACUAGCCCAAUACCCUAAAUUAACCUAGCCCAGCAGCCCAAAACAAAUUAGCAGAGAGGAAACCCUAAUUCCACUUGCCUCCUUACUUGCGCCGCACGCUCUUCUGCCCUUGGCUACCACGCCCCACUUUCUUCUGACACCAGCACUGGCCACCUGCUCCACCAUGCCUCUGCCACCGCCGUUCGCCCAUACCCUGCAAAAUGAAACAAAUGCCAAGACAGAAGCAGACAGCACAAGCAGUAACAGAGAAUAAAACAAACAAUACUUUAAUAUGGGAAUCGGCUAUAAAGCCGAAAUGGAAAAUCUGUAAAAGGGGGGAUUUUUGCUAUGAAAACAAAGAUUUUCUUUCAAUUUUAACAGAUUGAAUACAAGAACCAUUCGAAAAUACAUAUACAAUCAGGGGCUCUAACACCAAAUCGGAGAAUCAAAUCUAAAACCUAAGGUGACUUUUCUUUCAUUUUUUCUUUACUAUUUUGAGUUUGUUUUUUACACAAAAAUACUAAAAAAAAUAACAAAACACAUAAAAACAUAUAUAUUAUUAAGCAAAAAAAAAGAAAAGAAAAUUUACCUUUUCCGGCCACCGUGCACGGUGGCCGACGCCGACGAGUCUCCGGUAACCGUCCGGCGACCGGACCCCUGGCCGGAGUCCCACCGAAAAUCGCCCUCUCCCUCUCCCUCUCCCUUUCUUUUCUUUUUUUUCCUUUCCCCAUCCCCAAAUGAAUUUUUUUUUAAUUUUUAACUUAUAUAGGGGACCAAAACGUCCCCCCCUUUAAUAAAUAAAACGACGUCGUUUUGGACGCGGGUCGGGUCGACCCAACCCGCACCAGGGCAGGAUCCGCGUGUUUCUUAGCGGAAGGGAAAUUUGCGUGCUCGGCCUUUCCGCUUUUCUGAGAUUUCACAAUUACGUUUUUUAUGUUUUGUAAUUCGGCCCUAGAAUUUUUCAUCGUUUUCAAUCUGGUCUCCGUGCUGCGCAACGUUUAGAUAGUUGGGAUUAUUUUCAAUUUUGGUCCCUCCAGGUUGCGCGUGCCUCACAUUUUGAUCCCUCCUCUUUGUUUCCUUUUUAAAUUGACCCCACAACAUUGUUUUUAAUUUAAUUUUAGUCCUUUUUCGUUAUUUUUAUUUCCUUAUUAAAUACUCUUAUUAUUUUUAUAUUAUUAAUUUUAUUAUGUAUUAGUUUAUGUUUUAUUAUACAAUUAUAUAUUUAUAAUAUGUAUACACGCUUAAUAUAUUUGUAUAUACUUAUAUAAUAUUAGUACUAAAAGUUUUUAUUUUAAUAUGUAUAUAUUACCUAAAUGUUUAAAAUUAUAUAUGUACGUAUAUUCUUCAUUAUGUUCUUAAUACUAUACUUUACAUAUAUCGUACAUUUUUGUUUCAAGUUUGCUUUCAUGUAUUGUUUAGUCAAAAUUGUUUUAUUACUCAUUUUAAAAUUGUUUCACAUACUUUGCUUUAAACAUUAUAUCUCUUUCAUAUUAUGCACGUCAUUUUUAACUCUAUAUUGUAUAUCACAAUCUCAUAUAUUAUGUAUGUACUUCUCAUAUUAUUAGUUAUGUAUAUAUUCUUUACAUUAUCUUAUGUACAUAUAUUUUUCAUAUUAUAUUAUAUACCUAUCCUUUUGAUACCAUGUUGUAUAUAUUUUCAAUACUAUAUUACAAAAAUUUUUACCAUAUUAUGUAUGUUAUGUAUAUACGUUUUAAUGUUUUUGUAUUAUCUUAUAUGUAUAUUUUAAUAACUAUAUGAGGUAUGUAUUUUUAACACCGUAUUAUGUACAUAACUUUCAACAUCAUUGUAUACACACUUUUUAAUACUAUGUUAUUUAUACGUUUUUAUAGGUAUCGUGUACAUGCUCUAAAUACCAUCAUGUAUAUAGUUUUUUAUUGUUACUAUUAUGUAUACAUAUAUAUAGUAUCAUUAAUAGUUCUAAUAUCAUGCUCCCAUCACUUUGCUAACUAUUAUUAUAUGUUUGUAUAUAUUAAUUCUUAUUUCGCGUUUAAUACUAUUGUUAACAUAUUUAAUAUCGCAUAUAUGGCCAUUGUUUUAAUAUUCUCGUCGUAUUUAUCAUUUAUUUCAACAUAUUUCUAGCCCUUCCAUUUGUUCACUUUUAUUUCAUAUCAAUUUUGCUUGGCAUUUCUUCGAAAAUCUUAUUCUCGUUUUCUAAUUAAUUUCAAUAAUCGAGGCAACAUAUCGACUUAACAUUAAGUCAUCGAGUUCAUCGCUAUGUUGGGUGAACGUCAAUUGACACGUGUUAAAGCGAUAUACCCUUCUCAAAAAACGGAAUAAACUAAAAUUUCUCGUUUUUUAAUCGGAUCACGACUAAAUUUUACAUUGAACCCGAAUUUUUAAAAAUCAAGACAACCUGUGUUUAUGAGAUACCAAUUUUUGGGCGUCGCGAGGGUGCUAAUACCUUCCUCGCGUGUAACCGACUCCCGAACCUUAAUUUUUCUCUGGCUUUUAACGUAGACCUAAACUCAGUCUUUUUCUCGUUUUUAAAGAAAAAAGAAAUUUAUUAGGUGUUCGAUCACACCUAGGAAAAAGGAUCGGUGGCGACUCCCCCUUUUAUUUCAAAAUCGAACUUCAGUUUCCAAACUUUUUCACUAGAUCGCCACAAUUAGCGACCCCGAAACCAAUUUUUACGUCGCUACAUUAUAAAUGAGACUAAAUAGAAAAUUUUCUAUUUUAAGAAGGCUCAAAGACCUUGCCAGCCUCCUUGACUUCACCAUUGAAAUCUAGAAUAUACUCCUCACUAUGCUUUGGAAAAUUAAAGAUUUGAAAUUAUAUUAUUGUGUAAUAGAUAUAAUUAAUUUUUAAAUAUAUAAAUAAAGUUAAAGUUAAAAUUAAAUCACUGUGAUAAAUUGUAUAGAAUAUAGAUGAUUUAAGACAUGAUGCAAAUAAAACAUAGUUAAAUAAUUAAUAUAUAGCAUGCCAUAAUAAUAAAGGUGAAUCUAGAGGGUUCACAGGGCUUGAUUCUCCUAAAAUAGAAAAUUAUUAUUUAGAUUUUUUUAAAAAAUUUAAAAUUUUAAAUUAAUAAAAAUAAAAUUGUACUUUGAUUUCCCUAAAAUUAUAAAUUUUUUAUUCAAUCCUUUUAAAAAUUAUAAAGAUAUAAACUAUUAAAAAUUAAAUUUUCAUUUGGCCCCCUAAAAAAAUAUUCUGGCUUCGCCCCUGCAUGAUAAUAAUAUUAAUACAACACAAAUACACAAAAAAAUCAAAAUCUAUACAUAACAAUUAUUUACUUGUAUAAUUUUAUAAUAUUUUGAAUACAAAGAAAUAACACAAACAAUUUUCUCUAAAUUGAAUCACUCAAAUAAAAUAUUUUAAAUAUCUCAUGAUUUUAAAAUAUACUAUAAGGAUAAUUUUUUAAAAAUAAUUUAUUAUGAUAAAUCAUAUAAAUUAAAUAAAGAAACAAUACUAAUCCAACAUAAAAGAAAUGUAAUAAUAAUAUCAUAAAAAAUAUGUUCUUAGUUAAUGAUUUAGUCUGUACUUUGAGAAUUAGAGAAAACUCGAGUUCGAGAUUCAAUUAUAUAUGAGAAAAGUAUUAACAACCUCACAAUAACUUAAUACAUGUUGUUUUAAAAUUUUGAACCCAGUAUUUAAAUAUGAUCCCGUAAAAUUUAAGAAUGCAUGAAAUUUAUUAAUUAAGUGAAUUUGAUUUUGGAAAUAAACAAAAUACUCAAUUUAAUUUUAUUAUAUUUUUUAAAAUUUACUCACAUUAUAACAUUAAGAACAACAAAUGAGAGCGUAUCCAGUAAUUUUGGCAACAAUCUCUUUAAUUUUCGUAAUGCUAAAAUAUUACCUUUUUUUUUAAAAUUAAAUCGAUGUAAAGAAAUUCAUAGGUGCAUUUUCAUAUAAAUAAUUGAAUUAUUCAAAAUUACAUGCAUUUAGAGAUAAAUAUUUUACCCAGCACUACGCUUGUUCGACUCGUAAAAGGCAAAAAUUAGGAUUCAAAAUUAAAUUAUAAUUUUUAUGAUAAUAAAAAUUACUUAGGACAUCAUGUUCUCAAAAACUCAAACCUUUAUCAACAUAGAAUUGAAUCGAAUAUCGUUUUCAUCUUCCCAAGUUUCUAUACAUAAACUAUGAACACGGAAUUAAACAAUACAAAAAUGGUAUUCUUCUUCCAUUGACAUUUGAUAUCAGCUUCAGAAAAGGCAAAAGACAAGAAUAAAGAGAUAAAACAAAAGAUUAAAUCAAUCCUAUAUCCUUGACUGACAUAAUUUACCUUAAAAACUCUAUACUUUAACCAAUCCCACCUAUAUGAUUUUUCUGUUUUCCUAUACAUAACUUAAAGCUUACUUGGAACCAAGUCAUUGUAUUGUAUUUCAUGUAAUUUUUUGAAGCAGAUCCUCAUCUCCUCCAUCUGCAUUGAAGGAAUAGAUGUCGACCGGGGCCACCGUGCAACCCAUGGCAUUCUGCUUGGUUCUUUUAUUACAAAAGGAGCCUCGGUGUUUGUCUAGAUAGAUUACAAUCACGGUGAUAUCGUCGUGAAAAUGGCGCCUUAUCCCCUUUUUUAUUUUCUUGAUGUCACUGUAUCUCAUCUCCCUUUUCUUUGCAACUUCUUGAAGUACAGCUCUUACCAAUCUCCUGGCAAUACCCUGCAAGCAUUCAAGCAAACAAAUAUCAAUAAUGAAAUGCAUUGCAUUUCCAUAGGUUUCAUUAGGUUAAUGGAAGAACACGAAUACUCACGGCUCUCGGGUUUUUGAAAACGAUGUUUACAGCAGCUUCAUCACUCAACUGCUCCCAUAGGCCGUCUGAUGCAAAGAUGAGGAAUUGAUCCUGUGGCUUAAGCUUUCUAAUAAGGAUCGUUCUGCUGUAAUAACCGGCCUUUUAAGAGGAACAGGGUUUCCGAACUGCUGGAAGAUCGGAUCUCUAUAAAACUCAGGUUUCUUCAGGUAAACAUCACCUAUAGAUCUUGACACCUGAAAUAAGAAAAACAAAAAUGGCUUAGACCAGCAUGAUCACUCACAUGCUCAAAGAUCAUGUAUUAAUCAAUCAUCUCCAGUUCUACAAUCCAAUGUAAGAUAAAAGCUAAUGCAUCUUAUUCUCUCGAUUCGUGAAUGGAUCGAAGUAAAAAGCUCAACUUGCCUACCAAAGUAAAGGGGAACAACAUCACAAAAAGAGAAGAAAAACAUAAAAACGAGAGAGCAUCGAUUCCUUGCAGUUACAUAAGCCUAGCUUUAUGCUUCAGGGGCCUGCAUUUGUCCAUCUCAUGCAUAUAAGGCAUACUAUAUGGAAAAUAGCAGCAUGAAACAGUACUGGAAAUCAGACCAAAAUAUUCUUGGAAAAGUCGAAAAACUCAGAAUUAUAACCAUUUUUUAGAAUGAACUUCCAUUCUAAUGCACAAUGUAUACAUCCAUAAUUAUACCUCUCCAUCAAGCAAAAAGAAACAAAAUGGUUGCAAGCAAUGCCUACGAAGAGGAAGUUAAUUGGCAACUAAUUCUAGAAUCAACAUAUUGAUCAUUUCUCAAGCAGACUAGUUUUGAACUAAACGAUUAUAAAUCAACUUGUCAAUAAAAUUGUACCUGGAUUAUGCCCUUAAUCUUCCAAACUCCGCGGGUGUAAACGACUAUAUGUGAGUCAUCUGGAUGAAGUUCCUCGACCUCCUUUCGAACUUCCUCGACUCCAACAUUAUGAUCAGUUGACAACCUCUCUGCCACUACUGUGUUUUCCUUAUCCCCCGAAGCUUUCCUGCCAAGAACAGCUCUCGAGUCACCGAGAUUCGCCACGUAUAACACAUCAUUCGAAAUUGCACCAACUAGACAGCAUGAUCCAACCGAAGCAAUUUGAGGCCUCACGGACAAUGAUCGCUUCACCAAACGCAAAAACUCCUCUUCAGUGGCAUUGAAUGCCUUCUUUAUCACAUCUGCAGAUAAUCCCCCUUGUUCUGUAGCAAAUUCUACAAUGAAUAAAGAAAAAAAAAUUUAAGGGUCUCCAUCAAUCUUUUUUAGAAUCCAAGUGCAUGCUUAUCACUGAAAAGUGUGCAAAACAAAGAAAAAUAAAUGACCUGAAAAAUGCCAAAACUUGAACUACACUUACUAAUUAUUCCGAAAAAUUCAAGUCCAGACAACCCCAAGUAGAUACAAAUUUAGACAAAUAGUUCAUAUUCUCUUUUCCCAUCAAAACAUAGUGCUACAUGACUGUGGAGCGGGGCAAGAUAGAUAUUGUCAAAUUCAUUACUGUUCCAUUGCUGGCAUGAUCUGCCUCGACCCCACUCUGCUUCGCCAUAAAUGUUAAAACUUGAAUAUCAUUACUUUUAAUAUGCAUAAUCUAUCAAUACCUCACCUAAUAUAUACAUUUUUACUCGUUUUAAAAGUUAAAUAUAUAAGAAUAGAGCAAAUAUCAAAAUUAAGUGCCCCAUUGGUCCCUCUUUUACUGUUAAAAAUUAGAAAAAGAAAGUCUAUUUGGAGUCAUCAGUUCGAAAUCUAUCAAACUAAAUACAUAUUUGAUGAUUCCAUAGACAACUUAUGAUUUUCCUGACAAGGUCAUAUCUAUAUACAUACAUGAUCACAUGUUCAUUCAUGUCAUACAUACAUAGGAAUGUUGAAAUAAAGAGGGAAAAAGGGAAUUACUGUGGAGAAAAGGGAAGAGAUGUUUGUUAACAAAACGGGAAGCUUCCGGACCGCCAUGACCAUCGUAGACGCCAACGUAGGUAGCAAAAGGAGAGGUGAAGACUUGGCUUUGAUCUUCGAGACAGUUGUUAGCCUGCACGACGGCGAUGGAGAAAUCACCGGAAGCGUGGGGUUUAAGGUCAGCGUGCCACAUGAGAGCAUCCCCACCAGCUCUAACGCCAAGACAACGUUCGAGCGGCCUGGAAAGGGACCGUAACAUCAUCAUCAUCGUGUUUAAAAAAUAAUAAUAAUCCCUUUAUAGGGGAUUUGAUUAAAUGAAAACCUUUUCGAUGGUUUCAAUGGGGGGUUUCACUUUGGGGGAGAGGAAAAUGGAAAGAUAUUAAGAGGGAAAGAGAGAGUAGAGAGUGGGGUAAAGUGAAUGGAAAAGAAAUGCCGCGUAAAGAGAGGCAGAUGAUGAUGACCAACGACCCCCGAUGCUUGCUGUAAUUACUUCCCACUCUACGCGUUAACCACCCUUUUUCUUCUUUUUUGACUUUUAAACCCAAAUCCUUUUCUUUUAUUUUUAAUUUAUUGAAUGGAGACACUUAGGUCUAAUUUAAUAUUUCAAUUUUUAAAGAAUCGUAUCAGUGAUUGAAUUAUGUAUCUACUUAUUCUCGAUUUAAUCGGUUAGUUUAGCUCAAUUUAGGCCUGUUCAGAUUAUUCAACUUAAAAAUUUGUUCGAAAAGUGAGAUGAUUUAGGUAAAAAUAUAUGUUUAAAAAAUAAAUUUUAAUAAAAAAAUAAGGUAUAUUUUUUAAAUAGAUUGAGUCUUAAUAUUUUUUUGUUCAGGCUCAACUUGAUCUGGCUCAAAUUUGUAAAAAAAAAAAAUGUUGUUACUUUGUCAUUGUUUUACUGUCAUUUCGCUAUUAUAUUAUUACUAUUUUAUUGUUUUUGUUUAGAUAUUGUAUAAUUAUUUUUUUAUUGUUGAUUUGGCUACUAUUUUAGAACCAUUUGCUUACUAAGUUGCACUUAUAUCUUGGUGUUAGUUAAGUAUAAAUAUCUUUUAAAAAUUUGUUUUCAAUUUAUUGGGAAACAUUUAUUGCUCCAACUGACCUAUGGAUAGCUCUAGUUCAAUCCUUUUGCCCGAAUUGAUAUAUCAAUUGAUUUAUUGGUUCAACUAAUUCGAUUAGUUGAUUUUAUUUGAUUUGAUUCAAAAACACUAAGUGUUAUUUCAAGUUUAACUUAAUUUAUAUUUGUGUUGAUAGUUUAAAUUAUUUUAAUUUUAAAUCAUUCAAAUUCAACACUUAAUUUUUUGGGUCAGAUCGUUUUAGGACUAUUUCAUAUUAUAAUUUUAUAAAAAGGAAGUUGAACUGAAUAAUAUUUAAGUUUUUGAGUUGAAAUUCAAAUCAAUGUUAUUAAAUUGGGUCAUAAUUAAUAGGUGUACUAGAAUCUAAUUACAAAUAUAUAUCUAUAAGAUAAAACCAAAAAUAAAGGAUUAACAUCUGACCAAGUAUUGACAAUGCAUUGUUAUCCACAAAUUUAAUUAGAUACAAAACAAGAUAAACACUGUAAUGUGAAUUUCGUAUGUUAACUUAACGGUUAGGAUAUUCAUCGCUUCAAAUGUGAUUUGGGAUUGAGUCACAUUAUCUCUAAUAUGUCCUCUACCAAAGAAAAUGGAGGACUAAAGUUUGAAAUCUUAUUUAGUAUUUACAGCCAUGAUCAAUUUCUCUUUAUGAUCUCCACCCAUACAAUAAAUGUGAAAAGUGUAGCAGUACGAAUACCAUGUUUUUAUAGGGGCCGCCAUUCAAGAAUAUAUUACUUCCUCUGAACCUGACACUAAGGCAUGGAUAGCAACUUACAAUGUAUCAAAUUAAACACUAAAAUUAAACUCAUAUAUCAAAUUGAGAUUUAAAAAAAAACACUCAAAUACAAAAUUUGACAUUAAAAUCAAACGCAAGUACCGAAAAAUAUAUUAAUCCAUAUUCAUAAACCUUUUUCUUUGUUUUUGCACCCGUCAAAAUUCCAAGACUUACAUAUCUCUAAUUAAGAGCAUCAUCAUUUACAAAAAUUAAAAAAUUAAUCCCUCUACUUUAAUUUGUUAUAAUUUGUCCCACGUAAGUUAUAACAACCGAAAAGUUAAUCUAAUUAAGUAAUAUUGUUAAACCUUAUCAUUGAAUUGUUUGUUUGGAAACCAGCAAUUUAACAACUUAUAUGCAACAAAUUAACAAAACUCAUUUGUUCAAGUUCAUGUUUUGAAUAACACCUGGACUAAAUUUCCAAUUUUCAUAUGCUACAAUGACUAAAUUUUGACAAAUUAAAGUAGAGGGACCAACUUCUCAAUUUUCAUAAAGUAGGGGAUGAAAAUCAUAAUUAGACCAUGUAUAUGUUCUAUCGUGUGAGUUGGGGCCUGUUUUAUAGUAUACUUCUACAGUAAGGACAGUCCCCACACGUUCUGAGCCAAGGAUCUAAGCAAGCAAAGUGAAACCUGUGCCCACACGGCAGCUGAGUAAGCACAUCUCCUUCUCCG